rnacentral:rRNA from 1 species
AUUGAACGCUGGCGGCAGGCCCAACACAUGCAAGUCGAACGGUAACAGGAAACAGCUUGCUGUUUCGCUGACGAGUGGCGGACGGGUGAGUAAUGUCUGGGAAACUGCCUGAUGGAGGGGGAUAACUACUGGAAACGGUAGCUAAUACCGCAUAACGUCGCAAGACCAAAGAGGGGGACCUUCGGGCCUCUUGCCAUCGGAUGUGCCCAGAUGGGAUUAGCUAGUAGGUGGGGUAACGGCUCACCUAGGCGACGAUCCCUAGCUGGUCUGAGAGGAUGACCAGCCACACUGGAACUGGGACACGGUCCAGACUCCUACGGGAGGCAGCAGUGGGGAAUAUUGCACAAUGGGCGCAAGCCUGAUGCAGCCAUGUCGCGUGUAUGAAGAAGGCCUUCGGGUUGUAAAGUACUUUCAGCGGGGAGGAAGGGAGUAAAGUUAAUACCUUUGCUCAUUGACGUUACCCGCAGAAGAAGCACCGGCUAACUCCGUGCCAGCCGCCGCAGUAA